CUAAACUUAUUUGAAAGGAGGGAACAAUUAGAAAAAAUGCCUCUAUUAGAUCCAGCUGUAAGGCAUUUUUUAAAUUAGUGAUUGAUGGGGAAGGACCCAGCCCACUGUGGCUGGUGCUAUCCCUGGGCUGGCGAUCCUGGGUUCUAUAAGAAAGCAGCAGGCCAAGGAAGCCAUGGGGAGCAAGCCAGUAUUCAGCUCCCUCCGAGACCUCUGUAUCAUCUCCUGCCCGGUGUGAGCUCCUGUCCUGACUUCCUUUGGUGAGAAACAGCAAUAUGGAAGUUUCUUUACGUUUGAGAUGCAGUCUUGUGCUUUUUACUUUCAUAGCCAUCCUAUGGUACCAGGCUGCCACCCUUCUCCACUUUCCAGGGAAAACAGGCCGGGGCUGUCUGCUGCCCGAGGGAGGGGCAGGGAUUAGAGCUCCCAUUUCCCAAGUCUAAAUGCUCAUUCUUUCCAAGAUGCUCAAAUGCCUACAAGCCCUUCUGUUGCUAUUAAAACCCAUUUCUUACCUGUCCUUAGAGGAGCUGGGGCUGCACAUCCUUUAUUAUAGUAGACCUCCAUCUGCAUAAAACCUGUGAAUUUGUUCUCUUCCAGCUUCCCCUUCCGCAGGUUAAAUAGCCCCGAUUCUGCUCCUCGUAGAGUUUAUCUUCCAGCUCUUUUUGUCAGUUUUAACAAAGAGGUUGUGACUCCUGGGUUCCUGCUCAACAGAGCGCUUCCUCAUUAUUUUGUAACCUUUAUCCCUCCUUCCAGGGAGAGUUAAAUAAAGCCUGUGGAUUUUUGAUAUGAAUGUCUGGCAGACCCGUGUGCACUGAAAGGUUUCCAGUGAGGCCUCCUGAUGAAAGCGUCACUCCAACUGUGGAGUGCUCGUUCAUGGCACAUGAAAGGCAGCGGCCCCUCCACGUGUCCCCAGACCCACAAACAGGAACAGUGCCCACGUAAAGGUCCAGAUUCCAGAACACGUCUGAUUUUGGCAGGAAGAGAUAUGCGGUAAUGAGAAUGAAUACGAGGAACCGCUGGCUAAUUACUUCAGC
rnacentral:lncRNA from 1 species